AACGAACGCUGGCGGCAUGCCUAACACAUGCAAGUCGAACGAUUGCCUUCGGGUGAUAGUGGCGCACGGGUGCGUAACGCGUGGGAAUCUGCCCUUAGGUUCGGAAUAACAGCUGGAAACGGCUGCUAAUACCGGAUGAUAUCGCGAGAUCAAAGAUUUAUCGCCUGAGGAUGAGCCCGCGUUGGAUUAGGUAGUUGGUGGGGUAAAGGCCUACCAAGCCGACGAUCCAUAGCUGGUCUGAGAGGAUGAUCAACCACACUGGGACUGAGACACGGCCCAGACUCCUACGGGAGGCAGCAGUGGGGAAUAUUGGACAAUGGGCGCAAGCCUGAUCCAGCAAUGCCGCGUGAGUGAUGAAGGCCCUAGGGUUGUAAAGCUCUUUUACCCGGGAAGAUAAUGACUGUACCGGGAGAAUAAGCCCCGGCUAACUCCGUG
rnacentral:rRNA from 1 species